UAGAGCCGAAAGAAUUAGCUAAGGAAUAGGAUAUAGACUGGGGUUUUCAUUUCCUACAGAUAAAACAGAAAUGAACAGGAGUGAACAGAAGAGUAAAUUUGGGCAUCUCAUGCCCUCUUCUGGCUGUUGUAGUGCUUGCACACAUGGACAUACGAUAAAAUUAAAGAUGUGUAUUUUAUAAUAUGGAGAGUGAUACAAGACACCUCCUGCCCACCACAUACGUGCAGAUGGGCACACCUACACCUCUCUGCAUGCAUAUACACCCCACAAUAUAAUACAAUUAAGUAAAAUAGGGCAAAAUUAAGCUUGAGUGUCACAAAAGAGGGUUGGUUCCUUUGCUAGCUAGUAACAUUUUUAAAUAUUUAUCAAAACUUAAGUACUGAGGGUUGGAAAGAUAGCUCAGCAGUUAAAAGCACCCCUGUGCUUUCAGAGGACCCCGGGUUGAGUCCCAGCACCCACAUGGCAGCUUACAGAUAUCUGUAACUCCAGUCCCAGAGGAUCCAACACCGUCAUCUGGCCUGUCUGAGCAUGCAUGUGGUAUAUGGACAUACACAUAAAAAUAAAAAGUGACAAUGAUUUCAAAUACGGAAUUUCUAACUAAGCAUAAGGAGAGAAGCUUUGUUUCUAUAGCUCAACGCUUUGGGUCAUAUCCUGACGGGCAUUUCUUAGUUUGUGUCUCUGAUGCCUUGAUUUUCUAAUCUAACAUGUGGAGAAGGCCAAUCUUGCCCAUUUAUUGGGUGGAAUACAUGAGCCUUGACUGUUAACUGUUGCUCUGUAAUCAGUUGUUACCUGGACUGGAGGAGGGUUCAGUUGGUAAAGUGCUUGCUCCAUAAGCAUAAUGACCUGAACUCAGCCUCAGCACCCACAUAGAAGCUGGGUACAUUAGCACAUGUACCCGUAGUCCAGCGGGGGAGCAUGGAGACCCUGGAGCUGUGAGUCAGUGAGCUCCAGGUCCACUGACAACCUGUUUGAGAACUAAAAUGGAGAGCGAUAGAAGAGGAUGUCUGACGUUGGCCCAUGGGCUUCUUAUGGUGUACACGUAUAAGAUGCACACGUGUAAGAUGCCCGCUCUUUCUCCUUUGUUGUUUUUUUUUUUCCUUUACAGUUGAGUACAAAAGUUGAGACAGCUAAAUCCAGUUCCCACCUAUUAGAUUGAGGUGUAAGAUUUACUGUUGGAUGCUGUUAGCAGAGAUGAUGUCUGUCUCUCCUUAUCUAAGUUGGACAUCUGUGCCUCUCAUUCUGUCAUAUUAGUACUUUUGUGUUACUACUAUUCAGUUUUUAAAAAUGAACCUUAAUGUUCAAAAUAAUGCUACAAUGCUGUGUUUUAGAUGGAGGUAGUGAUGUGGUGAAAAUUAAACUGUUGGCUGACAGAUGGCAGCAGUGGGCUGCACGUAAACAUUCACCUCAGCUAAGUUGGUGUAGGGGUGUUAAUAACAUACAGAAGCAGGCCACUAGCCAGCUGUUAGAACACACCUAUAGGGACCCCAGCAUUUGGGGGCCUACGUAGAAGAAUCUGAAUUUGAGGCCAAACUGCAGCAUAUUAAGAGAAAUCAAAACUGACAAGUCAACUGGACUAUUUAGAAAAACAUAAUUUUUUUGUUUUGUUUUUGGAGACAGGAUUUCUCUGUGUAGUUUUGGCUAUCCUGGAGUUUACUGUGUAGACCAGACUAGCCUUGAACUCAGAGAUCCACCUGCCUCUGCCUCCUGAGUCCUGGGAUUAAAGGCGUACGCCACCACUGCUCAGCAAAAUGUGAUUUUUACAUUAGAAAUUAUUAGGUUUAUUUAUAUAGUUGAUAUGUCUCAGCCUUCUGAAAAUAUGAAGAUAUUUAUAUGGGGGUAUUUUUUGUUUUGUUUUGUUUUGUUUUUUUUUGUGCUGGAUGUUGAACCAGAGCCUCAUUCGUGCCCUCUCGCUCUGCAGUUUGCUUUACUCCUCACCCCUCAGCCCAAUGAAUCACAGUUUUAUUUUUAUUUUUUAAAGACUUAUUUAUAUAAUGUAUGUGAGUACACUGUCGAUCCCUUCAGACACACCAGAAGAGGUCAUUGCAUCCCAUUGCAUUGUGAGCCACCAUGUAGUUGUUGGGAAUUAAACUCAGGCCCUCUGGAAAGAGCAGACAGAGCCAUCUCUCCAGUCAAUGAGUUGCAUUUUUAAAAUUAAGACUUAAAUGCUCCCAGUACAUCAUCAUGAACCUAUUAUUAAAGUAUGUGAGUGGUGUGUGUGUGAGUGGGGGGGGGGGGGAGGUUAAGUAAUUCUGGACUCAAAAUUGGAGGAACUUCUAAUUUUUAAAUUUGGUUACUAAUUUUUAAUUUUACCUUUUUUAUAUUUAGAAUCCUGAGAAUUAGCAGCCUUUUAAGCCUGAGUAAAGGGUCAUGUUUGCUUUAAUUUUAGAUAUUCAAAUGUGGCAUUGUGGUCACUUCUGAGUCUCCUAGGGAGACAUAGGGGCACUUGAUUGGUUCCUGUUUACUUGGACGAUAGUGCAGAAAUCUUGGGUUCUUGUUACUAGAAGCCAGCAGCUCCAGAAGUGUAGAAGGCACCUAUGGGGAAAUGUUCUGCCUUGUUCUUCUAGGUCACAGUUACAUGUAGAGGAUGAAUAGAUUGAAGUUAGCAGAAU
rnacentral:lncRNA from 1 species